rnacentral:rRNA from 1 species
ACUCCUACGGGAGGCAGCAGUGGGGAAUAUUGGACAAUGGGGGGAACCCCGUGAUCCAGCCAUGCCGCGUGUGUGAAGAAGGCCUUAUGGUUGUAAAGCACUUUAAAGCGAGGAGGAGGCUACUGAGACUAAUACUCUUGGAUAGUGGACGUUACUCGCAGAAUAAGCACCGGCUAACUCUGUGCCAGCAGCCGCGGUAAUACAGAGGGUGCGAGCGUUAAUCGGAUUUACUGGGCGUAAAGCGUGCGUAGGCGGUCUUUUAAGUCGGAUGUGAAAUCCCCGAGCUUAACUUGGGAAUUGCAUUCGAUACGUGGGAAGCUAGAGUAUGGGAGAGGAUGGUAGAAUUCCAGGUGUAGCGGUGAAAUGCGUAGAGAUCGUGGAGGAAUACCGGAUGGCGAAGGCAGCCAUCUGGCCUAAUACUGACGCUGAGGUACGAAAGCAGUGGGAGCAAACAGGAUUAGAUACCCCGUGGUAGCGACUGA